UGCAAGUCGAGCGGAUGACGGGAGCUUGCUCCUUGAUUCAGCGGCGGACGGGUGAGUAAUACCUAGGAAUCUGCCUGAUAGUGGGGGACAACGUUUCGAAAGGAACGCUAAUACCGCAUACGUCCUACGGGAGAAAGCAGGGGACCUUCGGGCCUUGCGCUAUCAGAUGAGCCUAGGUCGGAUUAGCUAGUUGGUGAGGUAAUGGCUCACCAAGGCGACGAUCCGUAACUGGUCUGAGAGGAUGAUCAGUCACACUGGAACUGAGACACGGUCCAGACUCCUACGGGAGGCAGCAGUGGGGAAUAUUGGACAAUGGGCGAAAGCCUGAUCCAGCCAUGCCGCGUGUGUGAAGAAGGUCUUCGGAUUGUAAAGCACUUUAAGUUGGGAGGAAGGGCAGUAAGCUAAUACCUUGCUGUUUUGACGUUACCGAGAGAAUAAGCGCCGGCUAACUCUGUGCCAGCAGCCGCGGUAAUACAGAGGGUGCAAGCGUUAAUCGGGAUUACUGGACGUAAAGCGCGCGUACGUGGUUCGGUAA
rnacentral:rRNA from 1 species